CUCCUGCUGUGAUAAAUCCACUCCUACAUUCCUAAGCCUUUGGAUACCUGCACGCCAGGGGAAUCCUGGCAUCUUAAGCUUGCUAAAUAAAAGCCAACGGUAAGCCCGCAUCUCUGCCAGGCAAGCAAGGAAGCUGCAGAGCUCCCGGCAGGUGCUCGUGUGUGCCGGUUACUGCCUCGUCUCACCUCCAAGUCCACUUUUCUGUGCUUUAUAAAGGCCUGGACUUUCACCCCACGUCCCGGUUGGUGCGUUAUUAAACUGCCGCUAGAGGGCGCUAGAGCGACGUCGUAGGAGAAAUGGGCCUCCUACUCGCUCCAGGGUUUUGCGCUUCUUGGCUGCUCAGUGCUUCUCCUGGGUGCGUGGGGACAGCCAGGGGUGCUCUUGCCCUAGCCGUGCGCCAAGGAGGAAGCACACUGACUCCUCCUGACUUCACAACCCCAGCCUGGCCUUGACCUUUAACGCUGGCUCUGUCUGUAGGUCCCCCUGAUUUCGCUUUGUGGCUUUACAGUUGCUCCCCUAUCCUGUUUUAGUUAGGCUUUUUCUAAAGGUCCCCCUGUUCAAGUCAGUGUGCGGUUUACUCUUGCUCGGACCCAGGGUGAUACGCGGAGAUUCCACGUCACAUCCAGAAUCUCCGCCAAGUGCUCCCGGAUUCAUAAAGGAAGCCCCACUUCUUGAAUUCCACUCUGCAGAACUUUGUCAAGCGCCCUUGUACAGCUCACUGUGUCAGGCUGUCCCAGCGCUCUAGAACUGGAAUGCUCGCAGGUGUAGCUGAGUCCCCGGACAUCCCCUUAGUUCAUGGCCUGCGACCUCUGUUGCCACACGCAGCAGCCUGGCCUGUGAGGAGGCGGUCAGGACCAGCUGGGGAGGAGUCUUGUGAAGUACUGGGAUAAUUUUGCAGUCCCUGUUACGGACAUACAGGAAAACUCAGUGAGUCGGUAGAAGAUCCUGAGGCAAAAUCUGGGGUUUACAUCUGGUGCUUCGCAAACUUAACUAAGCUGCAAACAGAAACACGAAUUGAAGAAUUACAACAAACUGUACAUUCAGACAUCUUGGCUACCUUACAAUCCUGCAUGACAUUCACAUUCUGCUUAGAAGCAAAGAACGGGAACGUCGGGAAACUCUGAGUAAAUACAGUCCAAACAGGGUUUAUACAAACUGCUCCUCUUAUAUUGGAAAUUAACUGAUUUAUACCUUCUCAUAAAGUCUUCUUUGUGAUUCGA